rnacentral:rRNA from 1 species
CCUACGGGAGGCAGCAGUGAGGAAUAUUGGUCAAUGGGCGAAAGCCUGAACCAGCCAAGUAGCGUGCAGGAUGACGGCCCUAUGGGUUGUAAACUGCUUUUACAGGGGAAUAAAAAGGAGCACGUGUGCUCUGUUGCAUGUACCCUGGGAAUAAGGACCGGCUAAUUCCGUGCCAGCAGCCGCGGUAAUACGGAAGGUCCUGGUGUUAUCCGGAUUUAUUGGGUUUAAAGGGAGCGUAGGCCGUAGAUUAAGUGUGUUGUGAAAUGUAGGCGCCCAACGUCUGCCUUGCAGCGCAAACUGGUUUACUUGAGUACGCGCAACGCAGGCGGAAUUCGUCGUGUAGCGGUGAAAUGCUUAGAUAUGACGAAGAACUCCUAUUGCGAAGGCAGCUUGCGGGAGCGUUACUGACGC